AACGCACGAGACCUGCGGACCUGCGGAGGGAUCAUUACAUGAUUUGAGGGGGCUCACGUCCCCUCAUCCAACCCACAAACCCCGAGGAACUUUUAUGUCGAGUGGUUCGGCGCUCUCUUUGAGAGCCGCCCCUCAAACGCAUCGCAGGCUUUUCGUGAAGGUCUGAUGUGUCACAUCGUGAGUGUUAAAACUUUUAACAAUGGAUCUCU
rnacentral:misc_RNA from 1 species